rnacentral:rRNA from 1 species
GACGAACGCUGGCGGCGUGCUUAACACAUGCAAGUCGAACGGUAAGGCCCUUCGGGGUACACGAGUGGCGAACGGGUGAGUAACACGUGGGUGAUCUGCCAUGCACUUCGGGAUAAGCCUGGGAAACUGGGUCUAAUACCGGAUAGGACCCUGGGAUGCAUGUCCUGGGGUGGAAAGCUUUUGCGGUGUGGGAUGGGGCCGCGGCCUAUCAGCUUGUUGGGGGGGUGAUGGCCAACCAAGGCGACGACGGGGAGCCGGCCUGGGGGGGUGACCGGCACCACGGGGACUGGGAAACGGCCCAGACUCCUACGGGGGGCAGCGGUGGGGAAUAUUGCACAAUGGGCGAAAGCCUGAUGCAGCGCCGCCGCGUGGGGGAUGACGGCCUUCGGGUUGUAAACCUCUUUCAGCACCGACGAAGCGCAAGUGACGGUAGGUGCAGAAGAAGGACCGGCCAACUACGUGCCAGCAGCCGCGGUAA